CCAAUAGCGUAUAUUAAAGUUGUUGCAGUUAAAAAGCUCGUAGUUGAGUUUCGGGAUCAAAUUGUCGGUCGUGCCUCGGUACGUACUGGCGUUAUUGGUUCCUCCCUUCUGAAGAACCGCGAUGUCAUUAAUUUGGUGUCGCGGGGAAUCAGGACUGUUACUUUGAAAAAAUUAGAGUGUUUAAAGCAGGCUCGCGCUUGAAUACAUUAGCAUGGAAUAAUGAAAUAGGACGUUUGAUUCUAUUUUGUUGGUUUCUAGGAUCGACGUAAUGAUUAAUAGGGAUAGUUGGGGGCAUUAGUAUUCAAUUGUCAGAGGUGAAAUUCUUGGAUUUAUUGAAGACUAACUACUGCGAAAGCAUUUGCCAAGGAUGUUUUCAUUAAUCAAGAACGAAAGUUAGGGGAUCGAAGACGAUCAGAUACCGUCGUAGUCUUAACCAUAAACUAUGCCGACUAGGGAUCGGAUGAUGUUAAUUUUUUAAUGACUCAUUCGGCGCCUUACG
rnacentral:rRNA from 1 species